rnacentral:rRNA from 1 species
GAUGAACGCUGGCGGCGUGCCUAAUACAUGCAAGUCGAGCGAACGGACGAGAAGCUUGCUUCUCUGAUGUUAGCGGCGGACGGGUGAGUAACACGUGGAUAACCUACCUAUAAGACUGGGAUAACUUCGGGAAACCGGAGCUAAUACCGGAUAAUAUUUUGAACCGCAUGGUUCAAAAGUGAAAGACGGUCUUGCUGUCACUUAUAGAUGGAUCCGCGCUGCAUUAGCUAGUUGGUAAGGUAACGGCUUACCAAGGCAACGAUGCAUAGCCGACCUGAGAGGGUGGUCGGCCACACUGGAACUGAGACACGGUCCAGACUCCUACGGGACGCACCAGUAGGGAAUCUUCCGCAACGGGCGAAAGCCUGACGGAGCAACGCCGCGUGUGUGAUGAAGGUCUUGGGAUCGUAAAGCUCGGUUAUUGGGGAAGAACAUAUGUCUAAGGAACUGUAGACAUCUUGACGGUACCUGAUCAGAAAGCCCCGGCUAACUACGUG